rnacentral:pre_miRNA from 1 species
AACUAACCUGUCAAACUAGGGCAGUUCGAUAGGUACCUGUCGAACUGCGCCAGUUCGAUAGGUACCCCUAUCGAACUGCCCCAGUUCGAUAGGUA